rnacentral:rRNA from 1 species
CCUACGGGAGGCAGCAGUGAGGAAUAUUGGUCAAUGGACGGAAGUCUGAACCAGCCAUGCCGCGUGCAGGAAGACGGCUCUAUGAGUUGUAAACUGCUUUUGUCCAAGGGUAAACCUGAAUACGUGUAUUCAGCUGAAAGUUCUGUACGAAUAAGGAUCGGCUAACUACGGGCCAGCAGCCGCGGUAAUACGGAGGAUCCAAGCCUUAUCCGGAUUUAUUGGGUUGAAAGGGUGCGUAGGCGGAUUGAUAAGUUAGAGGUGAAAUGCCCGGGCUUAACUCGGGAACUGCCUUUAAUACUGUUGAGCUAGAGUGUAGAUGAGGUAGGCGGAAUGUAUGGUGUAGCGGUGAAAUGCUUAGAGAUCAGACAGAACACCGAUUGCGAAGGCAGCUUACCAAUCUAUAUCUGACGUUGAGGCACGAAAGCGUGGGGAGCAAACAGGAUUAGAUACCCCAGUAGUC